rnacentral:rRNA from 1 species
GAUGAACGCUGGCGGCGUGCCUAAUACAUGCAAGUCGAGCGAACGGACGAGAAGCUUGCUUCUCUGAUGUUAGCGGCGGACGGGUGAGUAACACGUGUAUAACCUACCUAUAAGACUGGGAUCACUUCGGGAAACCGGAGCUAAUCCCGGAUAAUAUUAUGAACCGCGUGGUUCAAAAGUGAAAGACGGUCUUGCUGUCACUUCUAGCUGGAUCCCCGCUGCAUUAGCUAGUUGUUAAGUUAACAGCUUUCCACGGCAACGAUGCAUAGACGACCGGAGAGGGGGAUCGGCGACACUGGAACUGAGACACGGUCCAGACUCCUACGGGAGGCAGCAGUAGGGAACCGUCCGCAAUGGGCGAAAGCCUGACGGAGCAACGCCGCGUGAGUGAUGAAGGUCUUCGGAUCGUAAAACUCUGUUAUGAGUGAAGAACAGAUGUGUAAGGAACUGUGCACAUCUUGACGGUACCUAAUCAGAAAGCAACGGCUAACUACGUG